rnacentral:lncRNA from 1 species
AGAAUGAAUAAAAAAAAUACAAAUAUUAUGAAAAUAACUUCUUUUCAUUCAUUCAAGUAUUUACAAGAAAGAAGAUGGUGUCUGAAGCACCACCUUACAAAAAAAAAGAGAAUAAAACAAAGCAAAAUAGAAGCAAGGAUAAAGAGACUCAGUCCUCAUCUAACGAGGAGGUCCCCACCUCCUCGUCGCUAUUUCAGGGCUAGAGACCAUGGAGCUCUAAGUAUGGCAUUAUCUGCAACAGACGGAUCUUACAAUCCUCGAAAUCGAGGAUAAAGGUAAUAGCAGCAAUAUCGAUAGCCUCCUUCUCGAACUCCAUGGAGGUCCGAAACUCUUGAAUAUAGUAUGCUCAAACAUUGAGAGGAAUCCAUUCAAACUGGGGGGUACGUUCACCUCUAGGAGACGGCGAGGAUCGAGAGAUAGAGGGCACCCUGUAAGAAGAGGAC